rnacentral:rRNA from 1 species
UACGAAGGGGGCUAGCGUUGUUCGGAAUUACUGGGUGUAAAGGGUUCGUAGGCGGUGUGGCAAGUCGGGAGUGAAAUUUCUGGGCUCAACUCAGAGACUGCUUCCGAAACUGCUGUGCUUGAGUGUGGGAGAGGCGCGUGGAAUUGCAGGUGUAGCGGUGAAAUGCGUAGAUAUCUGCAGGAACACCCGUGGCGAAAGCGGCGCGCUGGACCACUACUGACGCUGAGGAACGAAAGCUAGGGGAGCAAACAG